UUCGAUCCGGAUUUCGUAGUUAUCGAUAUAUCAGUUACAGAAGUUACAGCUAUACAUAUUACUACUACUAUUAUACCCAUUACUCAUCAUAUCUAUCAACUGGUGCAAUCGUAGGAGUUGUAUUUGGUGCCCUUAUAGGAGGUGCUGUUUUUUUAACAGGAUGCAUAAUGUGUUGUGUGUUUUGCUUCUGUAGUGGUAAUAAAAGUUCUCGAGGACAAGUUGUUAAUACAAAUCAAGCAGGAAUCUCCACUAUUUCAACAAAUCAGAUGAAUUCAAAUGCUACAUUAAACGAACCCGGUGUGCAGUUUACUCCUUCCCAGUAUUCCAGCCCACGGCAAUACAACACUGAGUAUUCAGCGCCUCCUCCA